rnacentral:rRNA from 1 species
CCUACGGGGGGCUGCAGUGGGGAAUUUUGGGCAAUGGGCGAAAGCCUGACCCAGCAACGCCGCGUGGAGGACGAAAUCCCUCCGGGAUGUAAACUCCGAAAGUCAGGGAAGAAAUGGCUCACACGAACAAUGUGAGCAGAUGACGGUACCUGAAAUAAGCCCCGGCUAACUACGUGCCAGCAGCCGCGGUAAUACGUAGGGGGCAAGCGUUGUUCGGAAUUACUGGGCGUAAAGGGCGCGUAGGCGGCACGGCAAGUCGGGAGUGAAAGCCCGGG